rnacentral:rRNA from 1 species
GACGAACGCUGGCGGCGUGCCUAAUACAUGCAAGUUGAGCGCUGAAGGUUGGUACUUGUACCAACUGGAUGAGCAGCGAACGGGUGAGUAACGCGUGGGGAAUCUGCCUUUGAGCGGGGGACAACAUUUGGAAACGAAUGCUAAUACCGCAUAAAAACUUUAAACACAAGUUUUAAGUUUGAAAGAUGCAAUUGCAUCACUCAAAGAUGAUCCCGCGUUGUAUUAGCUAGUUGGUGAGGUAAAGGCUCACCAAGGCGAUGAUACAUAGCCGACCUGAGAGGGUGAUCGGCCACAUUGGGACUGAGACACGGCCCAAACUCCUACGGGAGGCAGCAGUAGGGAAUCUUCGGCAAUGAACGAAAGUCUGACCGAGCAACGCCGCGUGAGUGAAGAAGGUUUUCGGAUCGUAAAACUCUGUUGGUAGAGAAGAACGUUGGUGAGAGUGGAAAGCUCAUCAAGUGACGGUAACUACACAGAAAGGGACGGCUAACUACGUG